GACCCCGUCUAGCCCACCCCCAUCUCUCACCUCCCACCCCAGGUUGGUUUACUAGAUGCUAGAGAUUUUGAACUUAUAAAUGCUAUUAAUAUUUGAUUACUAUGACUAUUCCAAUAUAAUAAAAUAAUUAUUAAAAAGGUGAAAAUUACAUGUCAUAUGUGCCUGCUAAGUGCCUGGCACUCUUCUAGGUCCCGAGGAUGUAUAACCUAGAACAUGUCCCUGCCCUCAAAGAAUAUACAUUUAGUAGAGCGACAAGCAAUAAAUCCAUAACUAAGAAGAUAUAUAGAGGCAUGGGGACCUGGGGCUUGGGGUGGUCAAGGGGAAGGAGGGAGGAUAGAGUAGGGGAUGAGCAUUUCGCUGCAGUUGGUCGCAGGGCCACCAGUGGAGAGCUGUGCCGGGAGGGCCUGGGUCCCAUGGCAGAGGCACCAUGAGCCGCCAGGCCUGCUGCUCAACCGGGGAAUCCUCGGAGUGACCUCAAGGUCCCAUCAGCCGUGUUCGGACCUGGUAACUUACGAGCUUAAAAUUAAAUUUAGUUCUGAAAAAAUGCAGCUUUUUUAUUUGAGACAAACCAUGUUGAAGACUGAGACUGGAGUUUAACCUUUGAGGAUAUAGUAAAUCUUUGGGAAAGUCUGUAAUUUAUGCAGCUAAAAUGUGAAUCCUGAGAUGGAAUCUCUAAAAGGCCAGUACAAGGGAUAGAUAUUGGUGGAAGCAUUUACACCCAGGCAGCUUGAAGCGUUCCAAAUGGAUCCUGCCACUGAGAAUUCAACUUGGCAGUCCACAGUGGGAGAUACAAGAGUGCUGUGAUAAUAUACAAGACAGGGUUCUUUUAACAUGGAUUUCAUGAAAUGAAUGAAGACAAUAGGUUUCUUACCCAACACAAAUGGACAGUGGAUUUGACUUUCUAAA